CGGUAUAAACCUUUCGGGGUUUAGAGAGUGGCGAACGGGUGAGUAACACGUAGGUAAUCUACCCUCAAAACGGGGACAACCCAGGGAAACUUGGGCUAAUACCGGAUGCGUGCAAGCAAUGUUUUGGCUGUUAAUGCUAUUCGCGGAAGUGAGUAGUGUUAAUGGUUGAGAGCAUUAUUUGCAUAAAAGGUGGCAUAUGCUGCCGUUUGAGGAUGAACCUGCGUCCUAUUAGUUAGUUGGUGAGGUAAUGGCUUACCAAGGCGAUGAUAGGUAGGCGGCCUUAACGGGUGGUCGCCCACACUGGGAUUGAGAGACGGCCCAGACUCCUACGGGAGGCAGCAGUCGAGAAUAGUCUACAAUGGACGGAAGUCUGAUAGUGCGACGCCGCGUGAACGAAGAAUCCCUUCGGGGUGUAAAGUUCUUUUAUACGUGAGCAGUGCCCUUUAUAUGAAUAGUAUAGAGGGAGGGAUUUAAGCGUAUGAAUAAGCAACGGCUAACUCCGUGCCAGCAGCCGCGGUAACACGGGGGUUGCAAGCGUUGUCCGGAAUUACUAGGCGUAAAGUGCAGGUAGGCGGAUAGAUAAGUUUAAGGUUAAAGGCUACGGCUUACCCGUAGUAAGGCGUUAGAUACUGUUUAUCUGGAAUGCGGUUGAGGGAGACAGAAUUCCUGGUGUAGCGGUGGAAUGCGCAGAGAUCAGGAGGAAUACCGAAGGCGAAGGCAGUCUUCUAAGCCGAUAUUGACGCUAAACUGCGAAGGUGUGGGG
rnacentral:rRNA from 1 species